UUACCGAGUUUACAACUCCCAAACCCCUGUGAACAUACCAAUUGUUGCCUCGGCGGAUCAGCCCGCUCCCGGUAAAACGGGACGGCCCGCCAGAGGACCCCUAAACUCUGUUUCUAUAUGUAACUUUUGAGUAAAUCCAUAAAUAAAUCAAAACUUUCAACAACGGAUCUCUUGGUUCUGGCAUCGAUGAAGAACGCAGCAAAAUGCGAUAAGUAAUGUGAAUUGCAGAAUUCAGUGAAUCAUCGAAUCUUUGAACGCACAUUGCGCCCGCCAGUAUUCUGGCGGGCAUGCCUGUUCGAGCGUCAUUUCAACCCUCAAGCCCAGCUUAGUGUUGGGACUCGAGAUUUAAACCGAGUUCCCCAACCUGAUAUACGGUCACGUAGAGCUUCCAUAGUGUAGUAGUAAAACUUUUUUUAUCGGUUUUGGUCGCGGCCAUACCUCCCAGCCGCUAAUCCCCCAAUUUUUUGUGGUUGACCUCGGAUCAGGUAGG
rnacentral:rRNA from 1 species